GACGAACGCUGGCGGCGCGCUUAACACAUGCAAGUCGAACGGAAAGGCCUGCUUUCCCUUGUGGAUUGCGGGUACUCGAGUGGCGAACGGGUGAGUAACACGUGAGUGAUCUGCCCCCAACUUGGGUAUAAGCCUGGGAAACUGGGUCUAAUUCCCGAUAGGACUGCAGGGUGGUGCCUGUGGUGGAAAACGAUUUUCUAGUGGUUGGGGAUGAGCUCGCGGCCUAUCAGCUUGUUGGUGGGGUAAUGGCCUACCAAGGCGGCGACGGGUAGCCGGCCUGAGAGGGUGGACGGCCACAUUGGGACUGAGAUACGGCCCAGACUCCUACGGGAGGCAGCAGUGGGGAAUCUUGCACAAUGGGCGGAAGCCUGAUGCAGCGACGCCACGUGGGGGAUGACGGCCUUCGGGUUGUAAACUCCUUUCGACCGCGAGGAAGCCACCUGGUUGGAAGGGUGGUGACGGUAGUGGUAGAAGAAGCACCGGCUAACUACGUG
rnacentral:rRNA from 1 species